rnacentral:rRNA from 1 species
UACGUAGGGUGCAAGCGUUGUCCGGAAUCAUUGGGCGUAAAGCGCGCGUAGGCGGCUCUGUAAGUCCGCUGUGAAAGUCAAAGGCUCAACCUUUGAAUGCCGGUGGAUACUGCAGGGCUAGAGUCCGGAAGAGGCAAGUGGAAUUCCUGGUGUAGCGGUGGAAUGCGCAGAUAUCAGGAGGAACACCAACGGCGAAGGCAGCUUGCUGGGACGGUACUGACGCUAAGGCGCGAAAGCGUGGGGAGCGAACAGG